AACCGGUCGCGGUCGCGCAGGCGGGCAUCAAACCCGAGCAGGUGCUGGA
rnacentral:tRNA from 1 species